rnacentral:tRNA from 1 species
GGUCGUGUGGCCCAGUGGUUAAGGCAUGUGCUUUACAAGCAGUUCGCACAGGAUCGCAGGUUCGAUCCCUGCCACGAUCA